AACUCUCCAGGAGACAGACUGAGUUGCAAGUCACAUGCCUCUCACAGUCCUCAAGAGAGAAUAUGCCCAAGAACGUGCAUCUGCUUAUUGGACAAGUACUUCUUGAGCUUCUAGCAUAGACUGGCCACAGUGCCGGGACUCAGGACACGGGGAUGACAGAGCCAGGCCUCUGCCUUCACGGAACUUACUGCCUCGGGGGGGGGGGGGGGAGCACAGAGAGACGGAUGAGAACCAAGAAAGCCAAGAAUGGUCAAAUGUCAAUGCUGAAAAGAACAAAGCAGAGAUACCCGGUCUCUCUCAGGCUAUUCCCAGAAUGAGGUUAGUGCCCUGGAACGUCGACAGACAGCAUCAGUGUGUGCCAGCAAAGUUUCGUGCUCAAGCCCUCACCCCACAAAUUCUCUUUUGCUCCUCUGGAAGCAGGAUUCGCCUUCUAUUUUUCCUCCAUGUUCCUCCAAUAGAAAAUUAAAACAUCUCAAUCCACAAA